AUGAGCGCCCGCCAGCACGUGCGAUUAAUGCGACGGCGUCAAUCGGAUCGACAUUUCACGUUUAUCCGGCGCGCACGCCAGGUAUUAAUGCGACGAGGGAGGCUGCGUUUAUUGUUCUCUCAGGCGAAGACGCAGGAGCUGGAUGGGAGAGGACGACGACGACGAGCCUUUCCCUCUUCUCGGGGCGUUCUGUCACGUGUCGCUAAGACGUUUCCGCGAUCGCCGGCAUCACCCAGCGCACAUUGACACCGGGGUGGAUGGUAAUAAGAACAUGGCUCUGCAGCGGAUGAAUCGCACGAGCGCGUUGGAACGGACACGCGUCGGACGCAUCUGAAUGGCGUCUGAACGGAUCGCAAAAGUCGACUGCAUUCACCUCUUUCGGCGGGCACACACACUAUGCCGCCCCGAAGAGGGGAUGGCAAAGGGUGGAGAGAGAAAGAGAGAGUGCAUAUACGAGGAAGCAGACGCGCGCAUUCGUGACACGGAUACGAGAUCCGACCGACCCACCCUCUUCCUCGCCAGGUAGCCUCGCUUUAUCGCCUGCGUAUACACGGUUUUGUCGAGGGAAAAAGAGAGACUCUCGCGAAACGGAAGGAGAGAAAAAACGAAGAACUCUCACGGAGAACUCGAAUUUCUAUAGUGUCUGAUAUUGGCUGUCGGAAUUUUAAGCUACAACUCCCAGAACAUAAAACUCAUUUGCAGGAAACGGAAGGAGAGAAAAAACGAAGAACUCUCACGGAGAACUCGAAUUUCUAUAGUGUCUGAUAUUGGCUGUCGGAAUUUUAAGCUACAACUCCCAGAACAUAAAACUCAUUUGCAGGAAACGGAAGGAGAGAAAAAACGAAGAACUCUCACGGAGAACUCGAAUUUAUAUAGUGUCUGAUAUUGAUUGUAAGUCAGUAAUAUUGUUCGUUGUUUAGCUUUGAGUUUGUUCUAUUUUGGUUUGUUCGGCAGGUCGGAAUUUUAAGCUACAACUCCCAGAACAUAAAACUCAUAAUCAUGUCAUUAUAUGAUUCUAUUCAUCACUUAAAAGUUAUCUGGACAAAAAUCUCAGGUAGCAAACUACGUCAUUAAACGUCAAAAUAACGUUUUGACGCUUAAUGAUAUAGUCUGCUACCUGAAAUUUUUGUCCAGAUAACUUUUAAGUGAUGAAUAAAAUCAUAAUGACGUUUAAUGUCGUUAUUUUGACGUUUAAUGAUCUUAGUCUGCUACCUGGGAUGAUUAAAAAAAGAUGACAAAGAAAUCAAAGAUUUAAAGCUCUUUGAUAUAAGAUAAUCGUUUUAUAUAAUGUUCAAAAAAUUUAUGUUGCUUGAAUAUUGUUAGAAUAUGUGUGAAAAAUAGAAUAAAUAAAUAAU